rnacentral:rRNA from 1 species
CCUGCCGGCGGGCACCGCUAUCGGAAUACGAUUAAGGCAUGCGUGUCGAGAGGUGCAAGACCUCGGCUGACGGCUGAGUAACACGCGGAUAAUCUGCCCUGAAGUGGGGGAUAAUCUCGGGAAACUGAGGAUAAUACCCCAUAGGCAUCGGUUGCUGGAAUGCGCCACUGCCCAAAGCCACGGCGCUCAAGGAUGGGUCUGCGGCUUAUCAGGCUGUUGUUGGUGUAAUGAACCAACAAACCUAUAACGGGUACGGGCUAUGGAAGUAGGAGCCCGGAGAUGGAUUCUGAGACAUGAAUCCAGGCACUACGGUGUGCAGCAAGCGCGAAACCUUUACAAUGCAUUCACGUGCGAUAGGGGGAUUUGGAGUGUUCCAGCAUUGCUGGAACUUUUGCUCACUUUAAAUAGGUGGGCGAAUAAGGGCUGGGUAAUACGGGUGCCAGCCGCCGCGGUAAUACCCGAAGCCCAAGUGAUGGCCGCCGUUAUUUGGUCUAAAGCGUCCGUAGCCGGUUUGGUAAGUUCCUGGUGAAAUCCCCUGGCAAACUGGGGGGCGUGCUGGGAAUACUACUAGACUUGAGACCGGGAGAGGGUGGAGGUAUUUAUGGGGUAAGGGUUAAAUCUUGUAAUCCCAUAGAGACCACCUGUGGCGAAGGCGUCCACCUGGAACGGGUCUGACGGUGAGGGACGAAGGCGUGGGGAGCGACCGGGAUUAGAUACCCCGUUAGUCCACGCAGUAAACGAUGCCCGCUUGGUGUUGUAGACUUCUUGGGAGUCUACAGUGCCGGAGAGUAGUUGUCAAGCGGGCCACCUGGGGGAGUACGUCCCGCAAGGAUGAAACUUAAAGGGAAUUGGCGGGGGGAGCACACAAAGGGGUGGGCACUGCGGUUCAAUUGGAUUCAAC